rnacentral:rRNA from 1 species
UACGGAGGCGGCAGGCGUUACUCGGAUUGAUUGGGUGUAAAGGGUGUGUAGGUGGUGAAUUAAGUCGAAUGUGAAAGCCCAUGGCUCAACCAUGGAAUUGCAUUCGAAACUGAUUUGCUUGAGCGAUGGAGAGGAAAGCGGAAUUCCCGGUGUAACAGUGAAAUGUGUAGAUAUCGGGAGGAACACCAGUGGCGAAGGCGGCUUUCUGGACAUCUGCUGACACUGAAACACGAGAGCAUGGGGAGCAAACAGG